GACGGGGGGGGCAAGCGAUGUUCGGAAUUACUGGGCGUAAAGGGCGCGUAGGCGGGUGGACAAGUCUCUCGUGAAAGCCCACGGCUCAACCGUGGAAUUGCGGGAGAUACUGUCUGUCUUGAGUCCGGGAGAGGAGGGUGGAAUUCCCAGUGUAGCAGUGAAAUGCGUAGAUAUUGGGAGGAACACCGGUGGCGAAGGCGGCUCUCUGGACCGGUACUGACGCUGAGGCGAGAAAGCUAGGGGAGCAAACGGG
rnacentral:rRNA from 1 species